AGCAGCCGCGGUAAUUCCAGCUCCAAUAGCGUAUAUUAAAGUUGUUGCAGUUAAAAGCUCGUAGUUGAAUUUCGGGAUUGGCGCAUCGGUCGUGCCUCACGGGGUAUGAACUGGUGCAGUCAAUUUCUCACCUUCUGGAGAACCGCGAUGUCCUUAAUUGGAUGCCGCGGGGAACCAGGACCUUUACUUUGAAAAAUUAGAGUGUUUAAAGCAGGCAUUUUUGCUUGAAUACAUUAGCAUGGAAUAAUAAAAUAGGACGGCAUGGUCCUAUUUUGUUGGUUUCUAGGACCACCGUAAUGAUUAAUAGGGAUAGUUGGGGGCAUUAGUAUUCAAUUGUCAGAGGUGAAAUUCUUGGAUUUAUUGAAGACUAACUACUGCGAAAGCAUUUGCCAAGGAUGUUUUCAUUAAUCAAGAACGAAAGUUAGGGGAUCGAAGACGAUCAGAUACCGUCGUAGUCUUAACCAUAAACUAUGCCGACUAGGAAUCAGACGAUGUUAAUUUUUAAUGUACUUCGUUUUGG
rnacentral:misc_RNA from 1 species